UCUUCCCAACUCCUCUGCCGGGACUCCCGCUCCCGCCGAGCCGCUGGUAUCCAAAGUGAUGAGACUUCAGUGUUCCUGGGUUGAGGUGGUACAGAUGAAGAAACUGAGGCCUGAGAGAUGAGGUGACUAGGCCAAGGUCUUAUAGUUUGGUUUUGGCCAAUGAACAUUUCUUGAACAUCCACCAUCAGUGGAACUCUGAGGUGACUAUUACCCUUGUCAACACAAGAUAUUUGCUUGAAGACAUGACUCUGAAGACUGUGGUUAGCAUCUUACCCGGAACAGAUGUCGUUUCAUGGAGGGCCCAUAGUCCUUCCAUUGUUCACAUGCAGCUUGACCUCCGAAUCAAACCAGACCACUGAGAACAAUAGGCUAGGGAGACCCUUGUAGACUGUCUUUAGUCAACUACCCCUGGGCCUCCUGCCACUGUGUGAAAGACAUGAGAGAGCAGCUGUUGAAAUGUCUGAGAUGAAGGAAUAGAGAUAUCAUCCUCAGUCUCCCAAGAGUCUGCUGUGUGGACCCAUGAGGAAAACCUGUCUCAGACCACAAGAAAUGACAGGAAAGGCUGUGCUCUUCUGAGGUGAUGGCUUGGGUUUACCUGGCAAUAGAUAAUCACUUUCCCCCUUUUGUCCAACUUCUAAGGAGUUUGCAUCACAGCUACUAAAGAGGGCCUUUGAAUUGUGCUCUGUAUGGUCAUUCUAUGACUAGCUUCUCCUGUUUUCUUCCUUCUCCUUCUCUUUACCCACCUUCUCAACUAUUUCAUUUCCCCCUCUUACAUACAUCUGUGGAGGCUUCCACAACUCUUCGUUUAGGAUCUAGGUGGAGCACAAAUAAAUUAGGGUCAGGGAGGGAAUCUGCUGAGAGUGAGCAAGUGCAAAAAAACAAAGACUGAAUAGACAUUUCUCCGAAGAUAAUAUACAAAUGGCCAGCAAGCACAUGAAAGAUACUCAGCAUCACUGAUAAUAAGGGAAAAGCAGAUCAAAACCACAGUGAGGUAGCACCUCACACCCAUUAGGAUUUUUAAAAAAUAAAACAGAAAAUAACAAGUGUUGGCAAGGAUGUGGAGAAACUGGAACUCUUGCACACUGUUGGGAUUGUAAAAUGGUACAACUGCUUGAGAAAAAACAUCUUGGUGGUUCCUUAAGAAGUUGAAGCUGGAACAACCA